AAACCCUAUGUGCUCACCAGGCUCCCAAGCCUGACCCACUCAGUUUUAUGUAUUACAGGUAGUGGCGCAUGAGCAUAGGUGUGAUGUUUUGGACGAGGGAUUACGGAUAUAGGCCUGUAGAUAUGAAAUAAUGUAGUAAGGCUUAUAUUGUACUGUUUAUGCUUUUGAUCUGUACGAACAUGACAUCCCAAGUCUUUUAAUGAAAUACAUUUCUAUGGAAAUGCUUUUGAUAAAUCUUUAUCAUAUUUUGUUUUGGGACAAAUUCCGCAACACUUUCAUUUAAAAUGUUACUCUGAUUUUUAAACAAAGCAUAAACAAACCGGUCUUUUCUGGCCGUGAUUUUGGGGAUGUCACAGUUGGUAUCAGAGCAUUAGUUUAAGCGAACUAGGAAUUUGUAGGAUUUCUAGAGUUAAACUUAGAAUGCUAAGCGAUGAUUGUGAGGUGUGAGCACUAGCUUAUUUUAGGAAUUAUGCCUAAAAUGCUUUUAUGUGCUAAAUGCUUUGUGCCUGACAUGCUAUUAUUUGUUCGGAUCUAUGGUCUGUUGCCGACCGGAUCUGGAAACCUUAUGUGUUUAGGAUUCUAAACGUUUAAUUACGAUAUUAGAACUAGCAUAUAAACGUUUCGGAGUGAUAAGGAUGAUUUAAACGUCAAUCCUAAAUAAAGAUCUAGAUUCACCUUUUUCGGUGUAUAGAUCAAGAUGGAAAGGACCCGUAGCGGAAACGUGAAUGCAAAUGGGAAACGAGAUCAGCCCNAGCGGAAACGUGAAUGCAAAUGGGAACCGAGAUCAGCCCCCAGUGAUACAACAAAUACCAGUCGUAGUAGAAGUUGCACCCGAGCCAAUCACGAUGGCCGGAGUGCAAGCAUUGAUCCAGAUGAUGUUGGAUCGUCAAAUGGAGGAAACAAGGGGUUUACUUCAACAAGCUCGAGAGGAAAUUACGAUGCCUAUUGAACAGCCCGAGCUGAAUGACGGACAGUCUGAGGAAGGGAACGACAGCAGGACCGUUGGUCAAGCUGAUCCCCUGGUGAUUAGGAGGAACAAUCAUGAUGAAGGAGUCGAGAUUAAUGGAUGCAAGUACAAAUAUUUUAUAACUUUCAAGCCAUCGACUUUCACUGGGAAGGAAGAUCUGAUCUGGGUCAUGGAUUGGAUCUCAGAGAUGGAAUUGGCCUUCAUGACAUGUGGUUGCAAAGGCAAGCUACAAACCAUGUUUGCAGUACGUCAAUUCAGAGGAGGCGCUGUUCGCUGGUGGAAUACCCUAGGGAAGACUUUGAGCCCCAAUGAGCCCCUGCAACUGGCAUGGGCAGAGUUUCUGGUGCAAUUUAAACGAAAGUACUACUCAGCUUAAAACUUACUCGAGCUAGAGAACCAGUUCCUGACCUUGAAGAAAGGAAGCAUGUCAAUUGAUGAAUACACAAACAACUUCACAGAGAAGAUGGAGUUCGCCUUGCGCCUUGUUCCGGAUGAGCUGACGAAAAUCGACAAGUACGCAAAGGGACUUCCAUGGGAGUACGCGGUGCCAGUGCGUCAGGCACCUACUCUGGAGGCAGCUAUCUGGGCUGCCAAGUCUGUGGAAGAUAUGAUUAAGGGAAGAGCUGCCAACAAGAUUGAGGUUGGCGAAAAGAGGAAGUUUGAGGGGUCUACGAGGCCCAAUAAGAAGAUCAAGUCUGGUUCAAAGGAGUUUAGCGGAGGAGGAAACAAAGUGAAAUGGUGCGAGAAGUGCAAGAAGAAUCACUUUGGGAAAUGUAGCGAAGAAGUGACUUGCUACAAGUGUGGGAAGACCAGACAUUACGCCAACGAGUGCACCGCCAGCAAAAGGGUGUGUUAUGAAUGCCGUGAAGAAGGGCAUGUUGCUAAGGAUUGCCCGAAAAAGAAAGAGGCGGCAAGACCAAACAUUCCGCCAAAACCAAAGGCAAGAGCAUUCCAUAUGAUCCUAGACGAAGCAGCUGACGAUGCAAGGAAUCAGGAGUGAGGAUGGAUACAUGGAGAUCAAGUUAUGAAGAAGCCAUGUAGAUAGUGUCAUAUGGUGUAGCCUAUUAGAGGCAUAAUCUAGGGUGAACUUGAACACCCAUGUAAUCGUUUCAAGGAAUAAUAUAAAACCUUCAUUUUGAUAUUUUAUGUGUUAAGUUUCUAUGUGAUUUUCUUGUAUGGUGACUUGGAAAACUACGGGACAAUACUUGGGACGAGUAUGAGUAGGUGUGAAAGGUAGUAGAGGCCUAUACUACCGGAAGCACAGGACUCACACUUGGAUCAGGGAAAGUCACAAGGUUACCAAGAAACUAGUAAUUGAUUUUGUUUUAUUCAAGUAUGUCAUUACCAUUGUUUCGGUAAUGACUAAGAAGAUUGUUGUUAUCCCGACCCUAGUGGUCAUAUCACAUUGAGUCCGACUACGAUGAGUAGGUUACGUGGUUCAGAGAACCAAGUUUGAUGUAGCGUCCGACUUAAACCAAACGAUUGAAAUCAAAGCGAUCAAUAGAAGUAUCACGCUCGUUGUUAAAGAAGUUGGUAGCUAGAAAUGCUACAUGUUAAAAUGUGAUUAUAUCACAUUAGACGAUGAAGGAAGGCAUAUUCCAUUCCGGAAUUUGACUAUAAGAGACCUGAGUCUAAGCAUUGCUACAUACGAUGAUAGGUCAUUAGAAUAUGACACAUCGGUCAAUUGUAGUAAUCAAAUUAACUUAUCCUAAGUUUGUUAAGAAGAAGAAGGAGUCUUUGAUAAAGAAUGAGGUUGUGACACUAAGGUCAUGAUUGAAAGUCUAACGAGCAGGUGUAAGACCGAGCAGCGCCUGCAAUCAAGGAGUCCAAGAGUUAGAUACUCGUUCGAAGCAACAUAGAAGUUACAGUUAGUACCCAGGAUGAAGAGAUAACGUAUGGAGUCAUUAUACAAUCCUGUUUCGUUGAUGAUUCCGGGACGUAAUCAUCCUAAGGGGGAGAUAAUUGUAACGCCCGUAGAUCCGGGCUAGUCAAUUUAGAGAUAAUAGGGGUCGAAAACAACUUUUCGGCAAAAGAUUAUUUAGAAUAAAUAAUCUUAACCCAGUUGUAGUAUAUGUUAUAAGGUUUCCGUACAUAUAAAGAGCGCUGAAAUCCGAGUUAUAACGAAGAAGUUAUGACCCGUCGAAGUUUUACGGCAAAACCGGUACGACACCGAGAGACGUAAAUAGUGAAUUGAUGAUGGAGGAAUUUUUAGCCUUAGUGAUCUAAACUAAAGUUGCAUUAUAUGUUAAAUCGAGAACAUCCAUAAAAAGAACGCCCAAAUCCGACUUCGUAUGAGGAAGUUAUGAUUUUUCUAAAAUUCGGCUUAGCAGUGCACGACCCGAAACUCGAAUUUUAGUUCGAGCGGUUUUUGACUUACGCGACCUAAAUGUGAGUUGAAGAUAUCAUUAAUAGGAACUCACGGUAAAAAGACAGAAGAAAACAGAGUCCGUACGUAGAAGUUAUGAAUUUUACGCGGACGUUUAACAGUAUAAUCUCCUUGUACUGUUAAAUUUAAGAUCGGUCGAGAAUUAGCCGACGGAGUAAAAAUGAAAGUUGUAGAUAUUAUUUUUACCUACGUGUGGAUAUAAAGAGCGUCAAAAACGGAGGUCGUAUGUGAAAGUUACAGAUUUUAGAAGUCGGAAGUGUGCUGUGCGAAAAUGGGUGAUGUGGCACAAUCUUGGCCAUUGCUUUCUCCCCAAGUCUUGCCACUAGAUGGUGACAUGUGGCACCAAGUUCAGCCAUUUUCACCCUAUAAAUAGAACCUCUCCCACCCUCAUUUUCUUCACACCUUUCCCAUUCUUUCUUCUCUUUACUCUCUCUCUAGAACCUCUCUCUAGCCCCGAAACCCCCCGAAAAGCCUAGGGAACCUCCCUAGCACGAGGCGGAAGCCCCGGAGUGCUCGACGGCUCCGAGAAGAAGAGCUUUUCGGCUCGGGAACGCUGCUCCAAGCAAAGCCCGGUUUUCUAUAAAACCCGCUGUAAGUGAGCUACGCCUACGCUAUUUUUAAUAUAGCUUUUAUUUAAUUAUAGUAACGUUAUUAGGAACUUAUAAUAAGUACUUGGGCUAUUAUUAUGGGUUAUAUAAGUAUUGUUUAACGCUUAUAUAAUAGUAAUAAUAGCUAGACUAUUAAUUAGUCUCGGCGAAUAAUAGACUAAACUCUAGUGGUAAUAAUACUAGGUUUCGUCGAAGGAAAUUAUUUUUAAGAAGCGAAGCGCUGUCUGAGUUCGGAUUCACCACCUUUUCAAGUGAGUGCAUAGUUACUUUCAGCUUACACAUAGAUAUGAAGUAUUUUAUAUAAAUUACGUGCUAUGUGUGCAUAUUACCUGAAUACUUGCUAUCUAUGCUAGAUGAACAUUUUUAUACAUGUUUUCAAAGAUUUAAACUGUAUAUUUAUUUUAUAUCUACGAAAAUGUUGGGGUAAAACAUGGGUAGAUGUAUUAGUUGCUGUGUGAUAAAAUGAAAUAAUGAGAGGCCUCGUUAUAGAUGUUAUUGAUGAUCUAGUCAUCUAGCGGAGUAUAGAUGACGACCACGGACUAUUCUAGACAGUCCAGUGGAACACUAGCAGGCUCGCAACCUGUAGGUGUUUAUUCGAACUGUGUGUUUAUUUGAACUGUGUGCUCACCAGAUGUACUCCAUCCCCCACAUGGUUGCCUUAAGGACAUUUAUUGUUGAGGAAUCCCCUUAGCAUUAGUGUCCGUCCCGAUGAUAAUCCUUAGGAUAGGUCCCUUAUGAUAGAUGCUUAGGGACGUAAUGUGAGGAUAACGGGAACGGGUAAUCGGGUUUGUUUAAUUUAAUGAAGUUAAUAAACUUAUUUAUUGUGGGUUGAAAACCCUAUGUGCUCACUAGACUCCCAAGCCUGACCCACUCAGUUUUAUGUAUUACAGGUAGUGGCGCUUGAGCAUAGAUAUGAUGUUGGACGAGGGAUUACGGAUAUAGGCCUGUAGAUAUGAAAUAAUGUAGUAAGGCUUAUAUUGUACUGUUUAUGCUUUUGAUCUGUACGAACAUGACAUCCCAAGUCUUUUAAUGAAAUACAUUUCUACGGAAAUGCUUUUGAUAAAUCUUUAUCAUAUUUUGUUUUGGGACAAAUUCCGCAACACUUUCAUUUAAAAUGUUACUCUGAUUUUUAAACAAAGCAUAAACAAACCGGUCUUUUU
rnacentral:lncRNA from 1 species